GGCAAUGUUCUUUGGCCAGAGAAUUAGGUUUUUUGAGCGGGACUGGCAUUUCUCUUUCUUUUUAAUUCACGCGGCUUCUCACCCUCUCUCUCCAAUCAAUCCAAACCCUAAUUGUUCACCUGUAUACGUUUCAUCUUUCUUAAAUUCAUAUUUUUCAAAGUCAAACCCUAGAUGCGAAGAAAAAAAAAUAAGCCAAUGGAUCUUCUGUUGAUUUCUCAAACUCAAACCCUAAUGGCGAUUUAUCAAACUGCACUGAUAUUGUUUCCCACCAUUGAUUUCUUGGCCAUCGGAAGAAGAAAUUUGUAAAGCUCUUGUGAUUCGUGUUUUGAUCUUUGUAAGAUUUCAAAAUUCCAUUCACUCAUUGAUUUGUCUUUAAUCGCUUGCAAAUCUUCUAUCAUCUCAAGUUGAGCAAACAAGUGGAGGCUACACAAAACCCUCAUCUUAUUAUUAUACAAUCACUCAAUCCACACAAUUAAAAUUCAUUCUCUUCCAAUCCAAUCCAAACACACAACAUCUUCUCCCCAAUUCUUGCUAAACCGUUUCUGAAUCCGAUUGGAUUUCAACAACGAAACCCUAAGUUUGGGAUUCAUUUCAGCCUCCAGUUCGUUGACAAACUGUAGUUAUUGUAAAACAAUGGCUAAAGGUAGCUUCAAGCAAGAGCAUGAAUUCUCAAAGAGGCAUGCAGAGGCUUCAAGGAUCAGGGAGAAAUAUCCUGAUAGAGAAUUCCGAUAUUGAAUUCUUUUCAAAUCUCAUUUGUCAAUCUGUGUUCAUCACCAACACUUUUCCGCAAUAACCCAGAUCAUACUUCCACCUGAGGGAAUGGAUUGGGAGAAGGAUAUAGUAUGCUUGAUCAAGUUGGCAACCGGAAGUUGCGUGUAUCAGUUAGUCAAAGCAAGCUCGCUACCAAAGUAGCCAAAAAGUACGUUUUUUGGUUAAAAAAUGUGUUUUUCUUAAGGAUUUUUAAUUUAUCUAUUUGAUAUGCUUGAUUUGAAACCUUCAGGCUCAAGGAUAAACAACAUAGUAGUGGUGGUGCUACCUCUAGACUAACUUCAAAUUAUGCCUUCACACCUGUGCAAGUUGGUUAUUUGAAUUUGUAAAGUUGAUUUGAAAAUUGGCAAUCUGAUGUUUUUUUUUUGUGCCAGGCAUUGAUCAACUGAUAGAUCCACAGGCAGACGCUAAUACACUUGGGAGUGGAACUCGCAGCACAUACUUCUCGGAAACAAGAAAAGGAACAUUUUCAAAGAUCAAGAGAACCCGAGCCCCAUUUCACUAAAGUGAGAUAGACCCAUGUCAAUAAUCUUUGACAACCCAACGUCGGCUAGCGUCGUUUGAAAGUUCAUAUUUAGGACAAUGUUCGUCGGCCGGCAAAAUCUAAACAUCCAAAAGCAACAUGAAAAUUGACUUCAAUUCCAUUAGGUACACUUUUUAGCUGUUGAAAUUUUAAUAAUGUUUUCUACAAAAUAUGUUUACAAAGAGUUUUCUAAUAGUGUUUUCAAGGAGGCGUAAAGCGAAACAACUUUGUUCUAAACAUAGUUGUUAAUGGCGAAUAGUAGGCGGCUAUUUUAUAAAUAGUUAUACACUAGAUUUAAAAAAAAAUAUUUUAUAUGUAUAUUAUAUCAAAAAAUACGUUGGUAUAUAUGCUAUUUUACAUGUAUAUUUAACAAAAAACCUAAAAUCCAGCUAUUUUAUAGCUAUAUUUAAUUGCUAUUUAUAUUAAAAAAACAAAAAAAUUUGCCGCUAUUAUCACUAUCUAUCGCUAAUAGCGAGCCUACACCUAUACGCUGCGUAGCGCGCUUUAGCGAUCGUUGCGCUCGCUAUUAACAACCAUGGUGAAAAAAACUUUUGGUUGUUGGUUUUUUUAAUUGUAUCGUUUUUUAAGCCGCUACAAAACGAACGCGUAUCACCUAUGGACCUUGGCAAUAAGGCAUGAAGGUGGUUACCUACCGAAACUGAAUAUGUAAGUGAUACUAUAUUGAAAAAAUGGAUUACUGGCAAUGUUUUCUUUAUAUUUUCUUAUAUUUAUCCUUUUAGGUUUAGUUUUUUUUUACUAUUCACUGAUUUUAUGAGAUAACUAAAUCCUUAAUGUUCAUUAUUAAUCUUGAGAUUAUUGUGGCCUAAAUUUUACUUUUUGUAGGUUCAAAAUAGUGGAUUCACAGGUUAGUUGACUUUUAUAAACUAAUACAAGUUUGUUUGAUGUGUUCAUCAAUGCUUUUACAGAUCCAGAGAUAAGAGGGUUUCUAAAAAUGUAGAGAUAGCAGCGUAGAGAGGCCAUGUGGUGAAAUUUGGCUCAUGAAAUGACAAUAGAGUAUAGUGUUUAUGACAACCUAACCAGUGGGUUCACUUUUCAUGGACCCGACAAACAACUCGGGUCAGAAAACGGUGCAUUUGGCGCUGAACAGAAAUCAGCAAGCUCAAGGUCAGGUCUUGUUGAAAGAAUGGUUGCUAGAGCUGGUUACAAUGCUCCAAGAUUAAACACUGACGUUAUCAGACCUCCUCCUGCUUACGUGGACAAACAAUCGUCUGUUUUGACAAUCCCUCCUGGUCUUAGUCCUACUUCGCUUUUAGAUUCGCCGGUUUUUCUGUCGAAUUCGCUGGCUUAACCAUCUCCAACAACUGGGAAAUUCACAUUUGCACAAAAUAAAGAUGAUUCUUUUAAAGAAUUCAACAAUUCAUCUUUUGCAUUUAAACCUGUUCUUGAAUCUGCUUCUGUUCCGGUUUCCAACAAGGUUAAUUUGCCUUUUAUGUCUUGGCAAUCUGAGAAUCGCGUACCAUCUCAAAGUAUUGAAACCGCCAAAAACGGUGGUUUAAAUGGGAAUAUUGUUCAAGAACAUCACGAAGAAGAUGCAGAUCAAAUACCGAGUCGCGAAAAUGUUAAUUACGUAAGUGAAGAUGGGUAUAACUGGAGAAAGUAUGGCCAAAAACAAGUGAAGGGUAGUGAGUAUCCUAGAAGCUAUUACAAAUGCACUUAUGCGCAUCGUCCGGUCACAAAAAAGUGGAGCGAUCUCACGAGGGCCACAUCACCGAAAUUAUUUAUAAAGGGGCCCACAGUCAUCCAAAACCUCUCCCUGACCGUAGAUCCGAGUUCGCUUCUUCUAACGACAUCCAAGGUGGCACGAUCAAAUUGCUAAAACCAGGUUGGUACGAUCAGCCCACCAACCUAGGCUAUUUGUGUUGAAGAAGGUGAUAAAGCAGAUGAAGGAAUCUACAUAAAGCAGAUGAAGGAAUCUACAUAAGAUCUGGGAAUCCUUCAUGUGACCAAGAUCAAGUGUUUAUAGUGGCCCAGUUUGAACAACACCAAAAAAAAAAUAAUUUGAUAUUAAAAUGUGCAGGGAGACAAUGUAUAGAAGGUAUGCUUGAAGUUAACAAAAUCUGGGUUGGCUACUCUGAAUCUAAAUGCAGCUCAACCGCAUCAACUCGGUUGUGCGUGAAUUGUUAUAAAGGAAAAACAACAUUUGUUUCGCAUGGUCAGAUUACCAUUUUUAAUAAGUCACGGUUACCGUUUAAAGGAAUUGGUUUGGUGGUUUAGUGGGCACCCAGAUCUGAGCCACCUGGCACCUGACUUAAAGAGCACAGAAACAACCACGUUUUUUUGGCACCUUCCGGCUAGGCCCUAGGCGGAGCCUAAGCACCUUGAGUGCGCCUUGCACCUGUAAUAACUAUGAUUACAACACGCGACCUGCAAAGAGAAACAAUAUAUUUUUUGUUUCACCAAUUGCAAGUUAUUGACUGCAAGUUUGUUUGAUGUGUUCAUCAAUGCUUUAAGUGUGAUUCAAAAUAUCAUGUGUAUAGCUUACAUCAUAUUCUCUUGUAGUUCAUGAAUUUUAUCAUUUUAUAAAAAAAUCAAGGUUUUACUUUUGGAAAAGCUUUCAACGAUGUAUCGUGAAAAAUGCCACUCUCAUCAUUGUUGAAUGGAAUUUCAUUUUACUUAUAGAACAUGCAGGUAUUAACUAAGUUUUGUAUUUACUACAUCACUUUUAGUUUAUUUGUCAUCUGUGAACAAGCACGUAGUGAGAAUGGGAAUGUUGACUUUUGGUCAAACUUCACUUAUACAUGUCCCUUUGACUGCUUUGGGUGAGAUGUUUGAAGCUGCAACAAGUAUUAGGAGUUGGCUACUGAGGUAAGAGAGAUUAUAAGAGGUGGGAAGAAGAUACACAGAAAUGGACAAAGAUUAGAAGAGACAUGAAAUGGUUCAAGUUUCUUUUCAUGGCUACACUGCACAUAUCCUUAUUAGUUGCAAAAGAUUCUUAUCUGUCAAACCUGACCAGAACCGACCCGACCCGGAACUGUGAAUCCGAACCGUUCUAGGCAUAACAUGGGUAGGUUCUUUGGUGGUUUUCACCGUCCGGUUCCAAGGUUCCAAAUAUUGGGCCGCUAGGUUGGUCUCGGCAGCUUAAUGUUUAUAAUGUUUAGUCUAUGCAAGUUGCAAUAUGACAAAUUAUAUUUGUACCUAUGCUGCUAUGCAUCACGUAAAUCAAACUAUUCUCUUUGAAUA